GACGAACGCUGGCGGCGUGCUUAACACAUGCAAGUCGAACGGUAAGGCCCUUCGGGGUACACGAGUGGCGAACGGGUGAGUAACACGUGGGUGAUCUGCCCUGCACUUCGGGAUAAGCCUGGGAAACUGGGUCUAAUACCGGAUAGGACCCUGGGAUGCAUGUCCUGGGGUGGAAAGCUUUUGCGGUGUGGGAUGGGCCCGCGGCCUAUCAGCUUGUUGGUGGGGUGAUGGCCUACCAAGGGGACGACGGGUAGCCGGCCUGAGAGGGUGACCGGCCACACUGGGACUGAGAUACGGCUCAGACUCCUACGGGAGGCAGCAGUGGGGAAUAUUGCACAAUGGGCGCAAGCCUGAUGCAGCGACGCCGCGUGAGGGAUGACGGCCUUCGGGUUGUAAACCUCUUUCAGCACCGACGAAGCGCAAGUGACGGUAGGUGCAGAAGAAGGACCGGCCAACUACGUGCCAGCCGCCGCUGUAA
rnacentral:rRNA from 1 species